GGGGAAUAUUGGGCAAUGGGCGCAAGCCUGACCCAGCAACGCCGCGUGAAGGAAGAAGGCUUUCGGGUUGUAAACUUCUUUUAAGAGGGAAGAGCAGAAGACGGUACCUCUAGAAUAAGCCACGGCUAACUACGUGCCAGCAGCCGCGGUAAUACGUAGGUGGCAAGCAUUGUCCGGAUUUACUGGGUGUAAAGGGCGUGCAGCUGGGUCUGCAAGUCAGAUGUGAAAUCCAUGGGCUCAACCCAUGAACUGCAUUUGAAACUGUAGAUCUUGAGUGUCGGAGGGGCAAUCGGAAUUCCUAGUGUAGCGGUGAAAUGCGUAGAUAUUAGGAGGAACACCAGUGGCGAAGGCGGAUUGCUGGACGAUAACUGACGGUGAGGCGCGAAAGUGUGGGGAGCAAACAGGAUUAGAUACCCUGGUAGUCCACACUGUAAACGAUGAAUACUAGGUGUGCGGGGACUGACCCCCUGCGUGCCGCAGUAAACACAAUAAGUAUUCCACCUGGGGAGUACGAUCGCAAGGUUGAAACUCAAAGGAAUUGACGGGGGCCCGCACAAGCGGUGGAUUAUGUGGUUUAAUUCGAAGCAACGCGAAGAACCUUACCAGGGUUUGACAUCCUGCUAACGAAGUAGAGAUACAUUAGGUGCCCUUCGGGGAAAGCAGAGACAGGUGGUGCAUGGUUGUCGUCAGCUCGUGUCGUGAGAUGUUGGGUUAAGUCCCGCAACGAGCGCAACCCCUAUUGUUAGUUGCUACGCAAGAGCACUCUAGCGAGACUGCCGUUGACAAAACGGAGGAAGGUGGGGACGACGUCAAAUCAUCAUGCCCCUUAUAUCCUGGGCUACACACGUAAUACAAUGGCGGUCAACAGAGGGAAGCAAAGCCGCGAGGCAGAGCAAACCCCCAAAAGCCGUCCCAGUUCGGAUUGUAGGCUGCAACUCGCCUGCAUGAAGUCGGAAUCGCUAGUAAUCGCGGAUCAGCAUGCCGCGGUGAAUACGUUCCCG
rnacentral:rRNA from 1 species